rnacentral:rRNA from 1 species
UACGAGGGGGGCAAAUGUUGUUCGGAAUCACUGGGCGUAAAGGGAGCGUAGGCGGGUUCUUAAGUUAGGUGUUUAAUCCCGGGGCCCAACCCCGGACCGGCACUUAAAACUGGGAAUCUUGAAUAGUGGAGAGGUCGGUGGAAUUGGGGGUGUAGCGGUGGAAUGCGUAGAGAUCCCCAAGAACACCAGUUGCGAAGGCGGCCGACUGGACACAUAUUGACGCUGAGGCUCGAAAGCAUGGGGAGCAAACAGGAUUAGAAACCCCCGUAGUCC